rnacentral:tRNA from 1 species
GGGUGCUUAGCUCAGCGGUAGAGCACCUCCCUUACAAGGAGGUGGUCACAGGUUCGAUCCCUGUAGCACCCACCG